rnacentral:rRNA from 1 species
UAACGACUCUCGGCAACGGAUAUCUCGGCUCUCGCAUCGAUGAAGAACGUAGCGAAAUGCGAUACGUGGUGUGAAUUGCAGGAUCCCGUGAACCAUCGAGUUUUUGAACGCAAGUUGCGCCCGAAGCCAUUCGGCUGAGGGCACGUCUGCCUGGGCGUCACGC